GACAGCAGUGUUCUACAUUUUAAGUAGUCUUGAUUUGGGUGUUUACAGUGCUCAUUUACAUUUAAAAGGGUUGUAAAUCUGGUUCUUCAAGUUAAUUGUAGCACACCAUAGUGCACUUUAUUCAAAUAAAACGUAAUUUCCCACAAAAAAGUGGA